GACGAACGCUGGCGGCGUGCUUAACACAUGCAAGUCGAACGGAAAGGCCCUGCUGUUGUGGGGUGCUCGAGUGGCGAACGGGUGAGUAACACGUGAGUAACCUGCCCUGGACUUUGGGAUAACUUCAGGAAACUGGGGCUAAUACCGGAUAGGAGCUCCUGCUGCAUGGUGGGGGUGGGAAAGUUUCGGCGGUUGGGGAUGGACUCGCGGCUUAUCAGCUUGUUGGUGGGGUAGUGGCUUACCAAGGCUUUGACGGGUAGCCGGCCUGAGAGGGUGACCGGCCACAUUGGGACUGAGAUACGGACCAGACUCCUACGGGAGGCAGCAGUGGGAAAUAUUGCACAAUGGGCGGAAGCCUGAUGCAGCAACGCCGCGUGCGGGAUGACGGCCUUCGGGUUGUAAACCGCUUUCGCCUGUGACGAAGCGUGAGUGACGGUAAUGGGUAAAGAAGCACCGGCUAACUACGUG
rnacentral:rRNA from 1 species